rnacentral:rRNA from 1 species
UGGGGAAUAUUGGACAAUGGGGGCAACCCUGAUCCAGCCAUGCCGCGUGAGUGAUGAAGGCCUUCGGGUUGUAAAGCUCUUUUGGCGGGGACGAUGAUGACGGUACCCGCAGAAUAAGCCCCGGCUAACUUCGUGCCAGCAGCCGCGGUAAGACGAAGGGGGCUAGCGUUGUUCGGAAUUACUGGGCGUAAAGCGAGUGUAGGCGGUUGCCGUAGUCAGGUGUGAAAGCCUUGAGCUCAACUCAAGAAAUGCACUUGAUACUGGGUGACUAGAGGACCGGAGAGGAUAGUGGAAUUCCCAGUGUAGUGGUGAAAUACGUAGAGAUUGGGAAGAACACCAGUGGCGAAGGCGGCUAUCUGGACGGUUACUGACGCUAAGACUCGAAAGCGUGGGGAGCAAAACAGGAUUAGAUACCCUGGUAGUCCACGCCGUAAAACGAUGGGUGCUAGACGUUGGCGAGCUUGCUCGUCAGUGUCGCAGCUAACGCGUUAAAUCGACCGCCUGGGGAGU